rnacentral:rRNA from 1 species
AACGAACGCUGGCGGCAUGCCUAACACAUGCAAGUCGAACGAAAACUCCCGGUCUUGUUGCGCACGGCUGCUUACCACCGGGGAACUUACACUUAGGUUCCCAACCACUCACUGUAGGGGGUGCUAAUACCAGUUAAUCUCAUAGGAGCUAAGAUUUCUGGCGUUUGGAUGGGCGCGCGUUAGUUUGGCGAGUUGGUAGUGUACAAGCCUGCCAAGGCCAUGUUGCAUAGCUGGUCUGUUAGGAGGAUCAGCAACAAUGGGCCUGAGACACGGCCCAGACUCCUACGGGGGGGAGCAGUGGGGAAUAUUGGACGAUGGGCGAAGGCCUGAUACAGCAAUGCCGCGUGAGAGAUGAAGGGCUUAGUGUUGUAAAGCUCUUUUACCCGGGAUGAUAAUGACGGUACCGGGAGAAUAAGCACCGGCUAACUCCGUG